rnacentral:lncRNA from 1 species
UGUUCAAGCCAACACCCGCUAGCUUAUGCUGAGUCUUUUUUUCCUGAAGAUACUCCUAAAGAAUACUCCAUGAUCUCAUCAGUAACACCAGCCCAUGUGACCGUAACUCUCACUCAACGGUACGUGACCUCUUUGAAACACAGUUUCAGUACUUGAGGGAUGUAUGGUUUGUAACCGGAAAACCAUUAUUCUACUUUGACACAUGUUCAUUAAAGGAUAUUCACUUCUUUUCACACAUCUUUUCCCAAGUCUCUUCCCCAUAUUAUUAUGUAUUAUCUGAUAUUUGAUAUUUGGGGGAUGCUGCCAUAAAGACGUAGUAUAGCAUAGACUUCAGAUCACAUGUUCAGGGAACCUAUCAACUGAGCUCUCUAAAGUGUUAAAGCAAAUUUGUUUUCACCUGCAAUCUUAUUUCCUGUGACCUAGGAGAAUUUGGCGCUUUGUACCUCAACAUAUUUUGGAGACAUUAGUUUCUCAGUGUGAUCUGCAAUUGUUCUCAUACUGAUUUACCAGAAAGUACAGGACAGGUUCUAGUGUCUGUACGCCCACUCUUUACUUUCUCCUUUUGCAAAAGAACCACUUAUUUGUAAAGGCAGACUUUCCUCUACCCGCUGCCAUGUGGUUUCAAUAGGUGCUGUCACUCAGAUAAACUGCUGCCCUAGCCACAUGAGUAAAACUCUGAUCUGAAUGGGCCAAUCAGACUGCUUCACUUUUCUUGCCAAAAUGAUUUGGCUUAAAGAGUUGUGUUAGGCAGAACUAUGACCUCCCAAGGACAGUCGCAUCCUGAUCCCAAGAAGCUCUGAAUGUGUUAUGUUACAUGGCAAAAGGGAAUUCAAGUGGCAGAUAGAAUUGAAGUUGUUAAUCAACUCACUUUAAAAUAGAGAGAGUACCUUGGAUUACCCAGGUGGACCCAAUGUAAUCACAAGCAUACUUAAAAAUGGAAGAGGUACACAGAAGAGAAGUUUGGAUCAAUAUGAUAUGAAAACUCAAUCUGCUGUUGUUGGCUUUGAACUUGGAGGAAGGGGGCCAUGGACACAGGAAUGCAGGUGACCUCUAGAAGCUAGAAAACCAAGGAGAUGCAUUUUCCCUUAGAGCCUCCAGAAAGGAAUAAAGUUCUACUGGCAUCUUGAUUUUGGCUCAGAGAUCGAUUUCAGACUUCCAAACUGCAGAACCAUAAGGUAAUAAAUUUGUAUUGUUAAAACCACUAAGUUUGUCAUAUUCUGAUAUAGCAGCAGUAAGACACACAUCAAAGAGUAUUCAAGGAAAACCGACCUAGACCAAAGAGAUAUGUUUCCCCAGGAAUUUUGGAGGCAUAGCUGAUAGAUAAAGUAUGAGGCAAGCUUGGAAUUGCCAGGGGAACCUCUGAGAAAGCUGGUUUGCAAGAAAAAGCUGAGAAGAGCUGAAAUGAAAAAUGAGAAAAUCCUCCAGUCAGCCCUCCCUUCUUCAUGGCUGGGGUAUGCGGGACAAUAUACUCCCCUUUCCCAUUUGCUGCUUUGAGCUGGGAUAUUUCAUCACUUGCAAUGAGAGGUCUUGAGGAACCCAGGUGCUAAGUGGCUAUGUAU